rnacentral:rRNA from 1 species
AGGACGAACGCUGGCGGCGUGCUUAACACAUGCAAGUCGAACGGAAAGGCCCUUUCGGGGGUACUCGAGUGGCGAACGGGUGAGUAACACGUGGGUGACCUGCCCUUAGCUCUGGGAUAAGCCUGGGAAACUGGGUCUAAUACCGGAUAUGACCUCGCGAUGCAUGUCGUGGGGUGGAAAGCCUUGUGCGGCUAGGGAUGGGCCCGCGGCCUAUCAGCUUGUUGGUGGGGUGAUGGCCUACCAAGGCGACGACGGGUAGCCGGCCUGAGAGGGCGACCGGCCACACUGGGACUGAGACACGGCCCAGACUCCUACGGGAGGCAGCAGUGGGGAAUCUUGCGCAAUGGGCGAAAGCCUGACGCAGCGACGCCGCGUGAGGGAUGACGGCCUUCGGGUUGUAAACCUCUUUCAGCCCUGACGAAGCGAAGUGACGGUAGGGCAGAAGAAGCACCGGCCAACUACGCGCCAGCAGCCGC